rnacentral:rRNA from 1 species
UACGGGGGGGGGCAAGCGUUGUUCGGAAUUACUGGGCGUAAAGGGCUCGUAGGCGGCCAACUAAGUCAGACGUGAAAUCCCUCGGCUUAACCGGGGAACUGCGUCUGAUACUGGAUGGCUUGAGUUCGGGGAGAGGGAUGUGGAAUUCCAGGUGUAGCGGUGAAAUGCGUAGAUAUCUGGAGGAACACCGGUGGCGAAGGCGGCGAUCCUGGACCAAUUCUGACGCUGAGGAGCGAAAGCCAGGGGAGCAAACGGGG